UUGAACCAGUUCUGAAGAGGAAAGGAAGGAGCAGGCCAAAGAAGAAGGAAGGUGGGGCGUAGCAAGCGACAAUGACCACGGCUCACACAGUGUUAGGCUCCACGUACUUCGUGCCAACCCAUGGAACCGUCAUGACCACGUUGCCCUUUCGCAGACAGGAGCACAGAGGCACAGGGCAGUGAACUGUCUUGCCCAAUGUCACCCAGCUCAGCCCAUCGAUGUCUCAUUCAGAGCACAUUUUGAUGGAGGAAGCUGCUAGGAGUGGGGAGAGGACUCCAGGUGUGAGGGGCUGUGCUGCCAGACAUCCAGGAUCUGCCCAAAUGCCUCCUCCAGCUCCCUCAGCCCAUGUUCAAGCCCAUAUCCUGAUGUUAGCUUCACCUGCUCAGUGUCUGUG
rnacentral:lncRNA from 1 species